rnacentral:tRNA from 1 species
CGGAGCUUUGCGGGAUGGCCGGCGCAGACCCUUGCUCUGCGUCGGUCCUUUCCCGAAAGGCAGUUCCGCCCGCCGGUUCCGGC